UACGUAGGGCGCAAGCGUUGUCCGGAAUUAUUGGGCGUAAAGAGCUCGUAGGCGGCUUGUCGCGUCGGUUGUGAAAGCCCGGGGCUUAACCCCGGGUCUGCAGUCGAUACGGGCAGGCUAGAGUGUGGUAGGGGAGAUCGGAAUUCCUGGUGUAGCGGUGAAAUGCGCAGAUAUCAGGAAGAACACCUACGGCGAAGGCAGCUCGCUGGGACGGUACUGACGCUGAGGCGCGAAAGCGUGGGGAGCGAACAGG
rnacentral:rRNA from 1 species